AGAACGAACGCUGGCGGCAUGCCUAAUACAUGCAAGUCGAACGAACACUUCGGUGUUAGUGGCGCACGGGUGCGUAACGCGUGGGAAUCUGCCCUUGGGUUCGGAAUAACAGUUGGAAACGACUGCUAAUACCGGAUGAUGACGAAAGUCCAAAGAUUUAUCGCCCAGGGAUGAGCCCGCGUAGGAUUAGCUAGUUGGUGAGGUAAAGGCUCACCAAGGCAACGAUCCUUAGCUGGUCUGAGAGGAUGAUCAGCCACACUGGGACUGAGACACGGCCCAGACUCCUACGGGAGGCAGCAGUAGGGAAUAUGGACAAGUGGGCGAAAGCCUGAUCCAGCAAUCGCCGCGUGAGUGAUGAAGGCCGUUAGGGUUAGUAAAGUCUUACUUUACCCGAGAUGAUAAUGACAGUAGCGGAAGAAGUAACGCCCGGACUAACCGUCCGU
rnacentral:rRNA from 1 species